rnacentral:rRNA from 1 species
GACGAACGCUGGCGGCGUGCUUAACACAUGCAAGUCGAACGGAGUGACGAACGGGCGAGUAACACGUGGGUGAGCUGCCCUGCACUUCGGGAUAAGCCUGGGUAAAUGGGUCUACUACCGGCGAGUGUGGGAUGGGCCCGCGGCCUAUGAGCUUGUUGGGGGGGUAAUGGCCUACCAAGGCGGCGACGGGUAGCCGGCCUGGGAGGGUGGACGGACACCAUAGGACUGAGACACGGCCCAGACGCGUACGGGGGGCAGCAGGGGGGACUAUUGCGCAGUGGGGGGAAGUCUGAGAAAGAGGCGCUGCGUGGGGGAUGUUGGCCUUCGGGUUAUAAACGCCUUUCACCAUAGACGCGGUAGAUGGAGAAGAAGCACCGGCUAACUACGUGCCAGCAGCCGCGGUAAUAC